AAACAUGACUUUGGUCUCCGUCCUCAUCUGGACUCUCCUCUGCUGCUGCUUCACAGAGUCCAGAGGCCAGAUCACAGUGACUCAGCCUGGAGCAGUGAGUUCUGCUCUGGGAGCCUCCGUCUCCAUCAGCUGUAGCGUCAGUCCUGCUGUGUACUUUGAUGGUUCUGACCACAUAUUAGCCUGGUACCAACAGAGAGAAGGAGAAACUCCUAAACUGCUCAUUUACUGGGCAAAUCGUCGAGAAUCAGGGAUUCCAGGUCGUUUUACAGGCAGUGGAUCAAAGACUGACUUCACUCUGACCAUCAGUGGAGUUCAGGCUGAAGAUGCAGCAGUUUACUACUGUCAGAGUUUUCAUAGGAUCACACAUUGGUUCUCUGUGACCAACGAGUUCACACAGUGAAAAAGCGUCGUACAAAAA